ACGGCUUUGGCUCGGAUUCGUCC
rnacentral:siRNA from 1 species